CAGUAGCUCAGUUGGAUAGAGCAACGGCCUUCUAAGCCGUGGGUCAGGGGUUCGAGUCCCG
rnacentral:tRNA from 1 species